AAUGAGAACAGUCUGCCAGAGGGUGGAUGUUGAAAGUACUUGGUCUGAAUAAUGCCAGCUCUUGUAUUUGAAGUAUCAGUCAUGAUUAAAUACGAGUAUCUGUUAGUUUCAGCUUCACAAAUAGUUGCUGAUAAGACGAUUCUUAUAGUAAAUUAUCUGUACUUUAUAGUAUUAAUAAAUAGUCAAAGAACUUAACACGCCUUCGCACUUACAGUGCACCACUACUGUCACUAAUGUGUCUGUGGGUGAAAUCCCUGAACAUUCUGUUGGAAGGAGACUUACUUCAUCUUCUGUGCACAUUUUUGUGUGUGUCCUUGAUUAUGCAACUUCACCACUGAGAACACAAAAUUGUUUGGAUCCAGCAUCUGUUUUUCUGCUGGUGAACUAAUGUGCCUGUUGGAAGACCUGGUCCAAAUGUGGGCUUGGGUCUGGCACAAGAACAUCAUGAGGGGAGUAAGGAACUUACUUUUUUUUAGCACAGAAAAAUGCCAAGACUGCAGUGGCCAUUUUAAGUGAAACCAAAUGAAAAAAUGACUUUUGAAUUCCCUCGUUUAGGGUUUGCCACAGGAGCGAUUUGUACGUGUCAAUUAUCACAGGUUUUUGAGGCCAGCAGUCAGUUCUGGUACAAGAAAGUAUUUUAAGCAGUUAUUUUCUAACCUUAGUGGAUUUUUUUUUUACAGCAUUGAACAUGUCUCCACCCUUUCUCGGCCUGUAGGUCUUGCUCAGAAGUGGAAAGUAACGAAUUACAUUUACCAAUGUUACUGUAAUUGAGUCGUUUUUGUUAGUAAUGUUUUAAGUAGUUUUGAGAAUAGAUUAUUUUAUUUUUUCUUAAAUGCAUUUUGACUUUUUUUUUCAAAACCCGUUACUGAGUAAAAAAUUAAUUGCGGGGGAAAACAAGCUGCGUUAACUGAAAGAAAAUUGCGUGGUCGUGCACGCGCAGAUUUCCCACUAUGCUAACAUGUAUCCAGAUAACGUUGGUUAAGAGACAGGCUAGCCUGUCGUUUGAUGAUGGCUGGUACUGACAAAAAAUGGAGGUUGAGGAUUGCCAAGCAGAGAGCUGCCGUGGAGCAGAUGACUCAGAAAGAGAAGGAAAUCCUUCGCCAGCUCUUUGUUUUUAAUCGCAAACGAGGCAAUAACUUUAUCAUGCGAGACAAAACGUGCCUGCCCCGGCGGACAGAGCUUCCGCUGUCGAAACUUCCGCAUCCAACCUGCGAGAGUAUGUUGCGAUGUUUGGUGGGAUGAAACGCUAUCAACUGAGGCACAACCUUCAAAUACUACUCUUCAAAAUCAGGAAAUUCCCAGCGUAACCAGUCAUAUGUUCAAACAUGCUCCAACCAUGCUGUCAGUCAGGAUCCUGCUGAGCUGAGCUCAGGCUGCUGUUGCACGCACCGUACUUCUUAGAAAGUUAAUGGGCCACGAGGGAGGCCUGAAGCAAAAGAAGCUAACAGCAACUUCAUCCUGAUGAUGAUAUUCGUGCCCCAAGAAUUCCACCCCCACCCUCACCCACUGCACAACCCGCUGUAGCUUCACUUGAGGCUGUUGGCAGAUUCAUUUGUGCUUGACCUACUUAAUGUCUCCAGAGAGAUGGAGCAGUAAACAUAUGCAACUGCUCCUCGCCAGAGAAAUGUGGAAUUUUCCACGGCUUCAACCCCGAGUUCACAGGCCAAGCCUAUGUCCAGAGGAGGGAGAGUGAAGGAGGAGUGGGAGAAAAAAAAACCCUGAACUCUGUAACAUUUUCAUAACAUUUGACCUUUCGAUGGACCUGUUAACUACUGGGUCAAUAAAUUACUGCCAGGCCUGGUUUAAAAUAUACUGGUGGAGAAACGUUGACACCUUUUUUUUUUUACACUUUUUUCUGUUGCUUUUAUUGUAUGAUUAGAAUUUUACUAUAUUUGUUAGCUUUGCUAGUAUUGCAACCCCAGGGUUUCCACUAUGUACAACAAGUUCUACACAUUAAGCUGUGUACAUGAACCUCUGUGCAGCCCGCAGCUGGUUCAGAAUUAGGGUAGACUCAACACAGUAGUCCAACUCUUCUGUUACUGUUCCCUAAAUGAUAAAUAUCCUUUAGUGUCUCAAACUGCUGGGAGGUGUCUGAGGCUCCUAUAGAUUAUAAAUAGAUUAUAAGUUUACCACUUCAUUAGCUAUCUCUAAUGAAGUUGGCAACAUUUUUGGUACUGAUGCAUUUGACGCUGCCUGGCAUUUUCCUCGUCAAUAUUAACUCUGCGGCAAACAAACUAAAUUAACUGCGACGGGAUCACCUUUUUAAUAGGAUUAAGGCAGUCAUGAUGUCAUGCAACGUCUUGUCCAUAUAAGGAGCAUGGCUUUACAGCAGUCUCGGGAUAUUUCCAAAAUGUAACCAGCUUCAACGAAGAAGUGAGUUCAUAUUUUUUGUUAAACGAGGUCAAAUUUAACUACAUAUAAAGUUGACAGUUGCUGCUGUUGUUACUUUAUCUUCAAAAUAUCCUCCAUGUUGUUUACUCUACUAGGUAAACAAGGGAGUAACAGGUUUUCAAGUUAUCCUCCCAGCACUUGUUGAGGAUGAUGUAAAUUGUGUGUCACUCACACACACACACUUCUUUAAACCUUACAAAACCUUUUGUGGUUAAGCAGUGUGAGAUAGUUGCCAUCGCUGUAAUUACUGUUCUGCUUGACAUGAACGUGACUUCAGUGUUGAGUCACCUAAUAAAAACUGUCAGAGGAAUAAAAGUAAAUACAUAAAUUACAAGUAAUCAUGUUGUUUGUGUUCCGUCUGGGGCUCAGUUGACAGAAACACCAAGAGAGCGCCAGCAUGCGUAUUAAUAGGAACAUCUUCACAAUAUGGCAACAGUUAACCUGUCAGUGUUUUUAUAUUAUUUACUGUACACACUGCUGAUUUUCUCUUUUCAAAAAGUACCUCAAAAGACACCUUUUCCAGAUGAGUCUAAUGAAAGUGUGUUCUGAGAACAGACUUCUACACUUCUGUGUUUUGUAUUAGAAUGACCUCAAUUCCAUGUACUGUAUAGGUAUUCAAAUAAUACACAGGUUGAUAUAUUUAUGUUUUUAUUUUAACCAUGUGAAGCUACAGUGGGAAAAAUGGCUAUGAUGCUAACUUAUAUCAGAUUACUGUUAUUAUUGUUAUAUUAUUAUUAUUAUUAUUGUCUAAUGAAUCAAUCAUUUUCUGAUCCUCUGCAGUACUUAGACAACCCCCUCC